rnacentral:rRNA from 1 species
UACGUAGGUGACAAGCGUUGUCCGGAUUUACUGGGCGUAAAGAGCGCGCAGGCGGUCGAUCAAGUCGAGUGUGAAAGCCCCCGGCUCAACUGGGGAGGGUCAUUCGAUACUGAUCGACUCGAAGGCAGGAGAGGGUAGUGGAAUUCCCGGUGUAGUGGUGAAAUGCGUAGAUAUCGGGAGGAACACCAGUGGCGAAGGCGACUACCUGGCCUGUUCUUGACGCUGAGGCGCGAAAGCUAGGGGAGCAA